UACGGGGGGAGCAAGCGUUGUUCGGAUUUACUGGGCGUAAAGGGCGCGUAGGCGGCCACCGCAAGUCGAUUGUGAAAUCUCCGGGCUUAACCCGGAAAGGUCAACCGAUACUGCGGGGCUAGAGUGCGGAAGGGGCAACUGGAAUUCUUGGUGUAGCGGUGAAAUGCGUAGAUAUCAAGAGGAACACCUGCGGCGAAGGCGGGUUGCUGGGCCGACACUGACGCUGAUGCGCGAAAGCUAGGGGAGCGAAACGGG
rnacentral:rRNA from 1 species